rnacentral:tRNA from 2 species
GCGCGCGUAGCUCAUCCGGCAGAGCGCCGGUCCCAGAGGACCGGAGGAGCGGGUUCGACUCCCGUCGCACGCA